CUGCACUCAGAACCCCAUUGUGGCCCCUUGAUGGUCAGCCAGCUUCUGGUCACAAGUCAGACUUUUAUGUGCUAAGCCCUUCACUUGUUUCUCACUUGGAUAUUAGUAAUGCUAUAUCUGGAGUGUGGGUAAUAUAUCUUUAAAAGAUUGCAGACUACUAUUUAUGCACAAGUGACCAUGAAAAAAAUUGCAUUGUGUUGUAAUAAAAGAACCCUCUCAACUAGAACUGAAGUGUCGUUUCCACAACACUGAAAGAGAGACUAAACAAAGCAAACUGGAAAAGCUGCUUGGUGUUGUCACCUGAGGAGUCUAGACAGUGACUGCUCUAACGUCAAGAGUGAAGACAACAUGGAGUAGAGCCCCUGGCUGCCCUGUGAUGGACAUAUGAUGUAAAUAUUACUAUUUUUGCUGGAUGGAAAUAUUUGGACAACUUUUGCUUUAUAAGUAAGUAGCAACAAUGGUCAGGAACACCCUCAAGAAUCACAUAUUCUUCAGUGAAUGCAAGUUUUUCCCUUACCUG